rnacentral:lncRNA from 1 species
CGAAGAUCAAGCUAUUCAGCCCUCUUGCAUCUGCUUCAGACAUUUCCCCUCUGUAACAAUGCAAACACUACAAUUCGUAGAAAGCUUCACACACUCUUGAUCAAGACAGUGUGAAGCAAAACCAAUUUAUGGUGCCAACAAGAGCUUCAUCAAUGGAGAGCAACCACAAUUCUCAAAAGCUUCACACACUCUUGAUCAAGACAGUGUGAAGUAAAACCAAUUUAUGAUGCCAACAAGAGCUUCAUCAAUGGAAGGUAACCACAAUUCUCAAAAGCUUCACACAUUCUUGAUCAAGACAAUGUGAAGCAAAACCAAUUUAUGGUGCCAACAAGAGCUUUGUCAAUAGAGGGCAACCACAAUUCUCAAAAGCUUCACACACU